rnacentral:lncRNA from 1 species
GGGAGGGUAGUGCAUAUACAAACCUUACCUCUACCCUUGGAUAGAGAAGCUGUUUCCAAAUAGACCCCGGCACAAAUAGACCACGGCAUUAGCAAAAGGAAUACAAUCAGACUUAUAUUCAAGAACCAACAUCUACAAUAAAUGAAGCAUUAGUUUCAGAUAGUACACUCCAAACAGCUAUAAGAAAAUGUUUAGACUACCAACUACACACUCUCUAUG